GAUGAACGCUGGCGGCGUGCUUAACACAUGCAAGUCGAACGGAAAGGCCCAAGCUUGCUUGGGUACUCGAGUGGCGAACGGGUGAGUAACACGUGGGUGAUCUGCCCUGCACUUCGGGAUAAGCCUGGGAAACUGGGUCUAAUACCGGAUAGGACGAUGGUUUGGAUGCCAUUGUGGAAAGUUUUUUCGGUGUGGGAUGAGCUCGCGGCCUAUCAGCUUGUUGGUGGGGUAAUGGCCUACCAAGGCGUCGACGGGUAGCCGGCCUGAGAGGGUGUACGGCCACAUUGGGACUGAGAUACGGCCCAGACUCCUACGGGAGGCAGCAGUGGGGAAUAUUGCACAAUGGGCGCAAGCCUGAUGCAGCGACGCCGCGUGGGGGAUGACGGCCUUCGGGUUGUAAACUCCUUUCGCUAGGGACGAAGCGUUUUUGUGACGGUACCUGGAGAAGAAGCACCGGCUAACUACG
rnacentral:rRNA from 1 species